GGGUAGCAAACGGGAUUAGAGACCCCGGUAGUCCUAGCCCUAAACGAUGUAGACUUGGCGUCGGUGGUUUAAUCGCCAACGGUGUCGUAGCUAACGCACUAAGUCUACCGCCUGGGGACUACGGCCGCAAGGUUAAAACUAGAAGGAAUUGACGGGUCCCCGCACAAGCAGCGGAGCGUGUGGUUUAAUUCGAUGCUACACGAAGAACCUUACCUGGGUUUGACAUAGAGGUAGUAGGGAAGCGAAAGCGGACCGACCCUUCGGGGAGCCUCUACAGGUGUCGCAUGGCUGUCGUCAGCUCGUGUCGUGAGAUGUUCGGUUAAGUCCGCUAACGAGCGCAACCCUCGCUGUGUGUUACAAGUGUCACACGGUACUGCCGAUAUUAAGUCA
rnacentral:rRNA from 1 species